ACCCCCACCAAACCAAAAACACCCAAGGAUUUUGAAUGACCGCAAACGUCAGGACCUUAUUUUUAGUCUGCUCCAAAUAAUGCAAUUGGAUAACCUUACAUAAAACCAGACAUGCACUUUACCUUGAGAGCAUUUCACUUGAUAUGUUAGCAGAGACAUCCACGGUGUGAAUUCCUGUUUCACAGAUGGUAGAGAAAAUCCUACUCUGUCUUCCUAGCAUUUGACUACCUACAGCCAGCCUUUGACAGUAAGCAGGCCUCCUUUUAGCCUCACUGAAUUUUAAUGGAGAAAGGUAAUGAGAUUUAAAGAAAAACAAAUGCAGCCAUGUGUAGGGCAUGAAUGGUGAAGUCAGAGCCCUACUUCUGUUUCUCCCCAUGACUUCAGCUCUUAUCUGACCCAGUUAGGAGACAGAGAUGACAAAUAACACCAGCACCAAGUGGAGAACUCUUAGGCUGAACUCUGGUCUGAGUUUCUGUGAGAGAUUUUAGUCUAAACUAUCCAGCCCGAAAACGUGAAAGGAGAGCAAACAACAGUAAAAUAAGAUGUUAUUGUAAAGGACAGCGAGGACUGCUUUGUAUCAGACAGAGCUUGCCAGGACAUUAUAAUGCUUCGCAACACAGCUAAUCACACUAAAUAAAAUGUAGCCUUAAACACACUUAGGACUAGAUUCUCAGUGGGUCCUCCCAUUUAGCAUGCAGCUUAAUGUAUUAUUUUUUUUCCUAACCAACUGUAUUUUGUACCACAAGGGAUGGCUAACACAAUUUUGGAAAAAAAAUAUAUAUUUUCAUAAAAUAUGAAUAAAUAACCAUAAGUUGUUUACACAAAUAAACAUUCCGGGGCAUGGGAUUUUAUUCAGUAAUUGCCAUAUUGGUCAUAAAACAUGCCUGAGAGCCCAAAGUAUUACUUUAUUGCAUUUAGCAGCAACAAUUAGCCUCUCGAUUUUUCACUGCUUUAACAAACAGUAUGGGUUUCUACUCUCUAAGAGGUAAAAAAGAAAACAAAACCCAGGCUCUUCAGUGUGGCUGUACAUUCCACAGGCAUAUGUGCAAGUGGCACAAAAGACCAUCAAGGCUUGAACUGUGAAGUGUAGGAAAGAAAACAAAACAAAACAAAAAUACCCCACCAAAAAAACCCAACCACCAAACCAGCAGUCAAUUUUGCUUCCUAUUCUGGGGGACUAUGCAGGGCAGAGGGAGCAGCGAAGAAUUUCGUAAUAAGGCUCUCUCGCAAAAGCACCACAGGCAACAAAUUCCUUACAGCUGAAUAGGAGAAUAAGUGCAAAACUGAAGACAACAGGAAGAGGUGUGGUCCCUAAUGCAUCAUUUGCUGUAUUUUAUUGUCUGCGAGCCAAGAGAAGUAGAAGGCCACUGAAAUUCCUAGAGAACAGAAGAGCCCUGAAGAACUACUGAAUGAGGAGGCUUCCUAAUGCUUGGGUUUUUUACAUUAAACACGAUAAGAAAGGAAGCAUAUAUUUUGCAAAAGAGAGCAUUCACAAGCUGAAACUUACACCACCCACCCACCCCCUGUUGUAAUUGCAUUAUUUAUCUCAGCUCAUCUUUGAAUUAGGUGAUUUGGAAAUGCUUGGCUAUCCCCAGUAGUAGACAUCCAGCUAAACACGGCAGCCAAGGGGCAUGUCAGGAGGACUCCAGUUGGGCAGACACUUGUAACCGGAGGAAGAGUGCAGAUGUGACAGAAAUUUGGGAAUUCUAUACAGGUGAACUACAGAUGUGAUAGAGGAUGUAGAUACUGAUGCAGCACAGUUGCCUCACAAUUUGGAUAGUUAACCCAUGGGUAAUCAAGAAUUAACGGUAUUGUGUUAACUGCAGGAGCCACUGCAUCCUGGAAACAUUGCUGGGAAUAUCCAUCUUGAGUUUUCAUCUCACUAGAACUCCAAUUUGGACAGCUUAUUGACCUACUUUCAGUAGGUCACUGCUUUCAGCAUGUUAACCCCCCCCUCCAUCCCCAAAUACUCACGGCUAUUUCAAGUAAGUGCAAGAAAAAGGAAGAUGAAACUACAGAUGUUGCUCGUGCAUACAAUCAGCACAUCCCUCCCCCACUGAAGUUUAAUAAGGAUUGUUAGUACAUCAUUGUAGCUGGUAAUUGUGUAGGUACACAUGGUAAUUGCAUGUAUUUGCACUAAUUAUGUAAAUGCACAAUAAUUAAAGCUCCAGGGUUUUCAUGGUGAAUUUUUAAGACACUCAUGGAUUUGUCAUGGCAAAAGUGUCAGUUGUGUAACCUAGUGGGAAAGGGGAGGAGGAGGAAGCUCAGGAGAACAUGCUUCUUAAAUAAAAUGCAGGGAUUUUUACAUAAAUAAAUGGAUAGAGUACACUAAUCCAAACACAGCUGUCAUGCCUGGGUACAGUUUCUUUCAGAAUCUCUUACCAGACCCCCCCCCCAAAAUAAUCUAGAAAAAACCCAAAACCCAUUGAGUUUUUCAUGGCAGGUUAAAGCUAAAGAUCAAAUAUUCCCCCGCUUUCUCCACUUAAUGUCCCAGCUUUUCCCAUGUAGCCAGUGAAAGACAGGAGGAGAAAUGAAUUUGUGCUCUCUUCUUGCUAUUAUGGCGAUCACUUGCAAAAUAGUACCAGUUUUCUCCCCCUCCCAGAGGCCUUAUCAGACUCCCCUGAAUGCAUCAGGAUUCACUCUCUGAACCCUGGCACUGCUCGGAUUUGGAUGGGUCUCCCAGCACGGUGUGCUGCCUUCUCAGAGGACUUGUACAUGGGGGUUCAGGUUGCUUUUGUCUCGGGGGUGGGGUUCCCCCCUUUGCUGCCCUCCCCUAAGACUCCGGUCAUUCCCCCCACCCUCAAGAUCUUCAGAGGCAAGCUGGCAGGUCUCCUCGGGGCAGCACGCAGACCUCCCUGCCAGCCCUUGCCCAGCACGCCAGGCAGCAGCCACCGGUGCCGCAGCCCAAGGCACAGCUGCUCACCUUCGCUGCUCUGCUCCACGGACCUUUAGGGUCUUGAGGAAUUAACUGCUCCUGAACAACUUCAGGCAUAUGAAGGAAAGACAGGUUUAAGAACAUGCAGCGUAUAUCUCCUCGUACCAAGGCAGCACAUGGGGACACGCACAGUCCAACUGAUUAGCUGCUUCUAAUCGCCUCCGAAAGCAAACCCGAGCAGCUCCCUAGGACAAUCCUGUUAUCCUUAUGCCAACAGCACAAGGGGCUGUUCGAGAAGCACAGCAACAUAACAUAAGGUACUGUGAAUUCAGAGCACUACUAUGCAUUUCAUGCUGAAAAGCUUUCAGUUCCAAAAUACAUUGUUUGAGAUCUCAAUCGCUUAAGUCAAGCACUGGUUUUUUAGUCACUGAAAAGAGAUCUGCAUUCUUAAGACUGAAACCACUUGGAAAGCAUCAACCUGAUGUCCUUAUUGCAGAAAUAAUCUUUAUGCCACCACCUGCUGUUUGAUUUCAGGUGUGCUUGUUGGUCCCCAUGACACCGCAGUCCCACCUGCUUGUACACAGCUUGUACACGGCUACCCAUCUUGGCUCACAGACGCUUCAACAGAUAGUCAGUGCAAGAGUUUUAAGCUACCAAGACCUAAUAGCUUGAGCCAAGAUACAAAAGAGAGCUUGCUCAGGAACUGCAACAAAGCUUUGAGAAUGUAGGACUUACAACCACACAUCGCUACGUAUUUAAACAUAUAUACAUGAGUCAAAAAACUUUAUGCUCAUAGCACCUACCUUUACUACAGCCAGCACGCCAACGGCUGUGCUUCUUACUUGUAGGACUGAAGACAGGCUGCUCCGGGAUAACAGAAAACACAAAACCAUGUCCUGCAACCUUGAGGCACUCAAGAGCUGUGCUACAAGCUCCCAAACCCUUCCCUAAGGCUUGGUGCAGCUUACCCAGCUGCUAAUUUCAGGAGGGGUUUUAUUACAGCUGUUUCAAAUCGGCUACUCAGCCACAGCUGGGGCAAUAAUUAGUCCUUUUUAAUACUUCCUGGGCUGAGGGAGUUGUCAGGAUCUCAAUUUUUGUUUGGUUGGUUUUUUUAAACUGAUUUUUGAAUGUGCAAUCUCCCGAUUGUUUUCUGUCUUAAAAACAAAACAAAAAACCAACCUAAACUAAAAUAACCUAAACCCAACAACCCCUUCUUCCUGCCAAAUGUCCAAACCACUGCUUCUGAGAGUAGGACUCGUAAAUGUUUCUGCACUUACUUAAAACAUAAGGGAAAGAAAUCACUAGAACUAUGGUUGCAUUGAAAUAGCAUAUUUUUCCUGAUGCACUAAACACGUUUCAUAUGAUUCAGGUGCUUUUUAAAAAAAAAAAACAUGGCUUUGAAGACACUUUUUCCAUUUUAAAGCUAAAGUUAAAAAAAAUGUAGCUAUGGGAUAAAAAUUGUUCAAAUCUAGUGCAAAAUUAUUUUAAAAGCAGCUUUUAAUUGGUGGCAUUCGAUCAAACGAGAAGCUGCCUAGGACAGACUAUUUUCUACUUUGCUUCUAACAAUAGACAUACUUUCAAGGUUUUUAUUUCCUAUGCUAAUAAGAAUGCCUAUACUCAUGCUUGAUAGGGAUUAAAGAUGGUAAGGUGUCAUUUUAAAAUUUUCAGUUUGCAGCAACCUGUAUUUUAAUUAAUUGAGAAUCUUGUAGGAGUGGAAGAUUUCACGCAAAUGCAGUCUUUCUGAGAAAAGAGUAGUAUUGCUAAGACUGAUUGUAAGUUCUGUUGUAUUAAUUUCCUUUAAUUUCUCAGUAAAUUCAUCUGUUCUUCAGAGAAUGGAUGGUGGGUGUCUAAAACCAUCGUUUGUGGGGUUUGUGGGCCUGAAUGGAAGGAAGGUGAGUUGGGUUACAGCUGGAGCACAUUUUCUCUGCGUCUGUCGGGAAUUUGUUUCAGCUUGGCUUUGUUGUACAGCAGCAUUGUGAGGCUAAGUUAGAACUUUAACUUGUGUUAGCACAGGACCAAAGGUCUUUCGGAUGUUUAUGUCUAGCAGCAACUUGUAUGAUAAACACUUGUUUCCAGCAGCAGGGCUACUCAAGCUGAGUAACCCUGCAAUCUGGUAAGGUCCCUUGGACCUGAUGCUCCUCCACUUGCUGCCCAAAUACAUCUGCACAGGCAGGGAAAACCUAAUACCUCCAUUUGGGGAAGAUUUACAGGUCACAAGGAGAAAAAAGGAAUUUGUCUGGGCCCUAGGGUUUUUUUUAAAGGACUAGUGAAUUGAAGGCAUUUAUGAUACCUACUAAUAUUAUUCAUAUAUGUCCUUUUAGUAUCUCAUAGGCCAGUUGUGAGCAGCAAUGUUGGUGAUACCGGGCCUGGUGCAAGCACAGCUGUUCUCUUCAUAGUGCCUGAAUGUCACUGUUGCUUUUCCAGUAUGCUUCAAAGAUCUUUACACCAGCAAGGUCGGUGCCAGCAUCUCCAUUUCACAGGGAAGCUGAACAAUGAAUCCCACAGGGCAUCAAUGGGAGCAGAGUCAAACCUCCCUCCAUUUCAGUGUUUCUUCUCCGCUUUUGUGACAUGAAGUUAAAGCCCAAAUUCUACAAAAUGCUCAACAGGGAAACUCCUGCAGCCCAAUGACUUCCCUGAGGCACCACUUACGUAUGAUUUGUUGCAAGAUUAGGAUCAGAGGCUCUUCACUCCCCAUCUGCCUACCUCCUUGGGACUUUUUUUUUCAUCAUUAUGUUUUCCUUUUUGAAUUGUUCUGACUGAAAUAAAGUAAAAAUGGUUGGUACAUUUUAAAUCCGUGUCUGCUCUGCUAAUUGUUGGGGUGCCAAAGAUCAGCCACGGAGAGGUUGUCUUCAGAGCAAGAUUUAGGCUCCUAGAAGAAGUGGCAAUGUUAUAUGAGAUGUGUAAGGACCCAGUUCUGCAAGACUGAAUGUCGUGGUUUCACCCUCGCUGGCUAGAGGAAGAAAAAGAAGAAAAUCACCUCUUCCCCAGCUGGAACCAGGGUGCUAAAUCAAGCCCUAAAUGAUUCGACGAAGAGUACGGCAAAGCCGUGAGACAUUCACGGUGAAACGUGGCAUCCGACUUCAGCCAUCCUCCCACCACAGAGGUCAGGGCACUUACGAAUAUCAGUCCGGCGGAGUAAGAUCUGCCCCAUCAGCGGUUUGUUACCAUCUACCAGUGCUCAAUAACACAGGACACACCGCUGCUCGCCUGGAACAGCGUUGCAAGCUACAGCUGCUCCCCUGCAGUCAGCGGAGCUGCUCCGAGUCCGACUGCCAAGCAGUAUAUGUCUAACCGAGCUAUACAUUUUAGUUUGAUGGUAAGAUUUCUACUUCAGAAUUUGUUGUCGUUCAGCAGCUGAAGAAAAAAAGUUGGCACGUUGCAGAUUUCUAGUGAAAAUUUGAAAAACCAUGCCCGUCAUCAAAAUAUUAAACAGUAAUAGCAACAUUGUGAUACUUUGUAUCCCAUAACAUUGGAAACAAAAACAAUUGAAGUGAGUCAGCCCAAAUGUUUGCUUCUUGUCAAAAUAAACAAGACUGUUGGUAUGAUCAA